rnacentral:rRNA from 1 species
GAUGAACGCUAGCGGCAGGCUUAACACAUGCAAGUCGAGGGGUAUAGUUCUUCGGAAUUAGAGACCGGCGCACGGGUGCGUAACGCGUAUGCAAUCUACCUUUCACAAAGGGAUAGCCCAGAGAAAUUUGGAUUAAUACCUUAUAGUAAUACGACUUGGCAUCAAGAUGUAUUUAAAGAUUUAUCGGUGAAAGAUGAGCAUGCGUCCCAUUAGCUUGUUGGUAAGGUAACCGGCUUACCAAGGCAACGAUGGGUAGGGGUCCUGAGAGGGAGAUCCCCCACACUGGUACUGAGACACGGACCAGACUCCUACGGGAGCAGCAGUGAGGAAUAUUGGACAAUGGGCGCAAG